rnacentral:rRNA from 1 species
UACAGAGGUCUCAAGCGUUGUUCGGAUUCAUUGGGCGUAAAGGGUGCGUAGGCGGCGCGGUAAGUCGGGUGUGAAAUCUCGGAGCUUAACUCCGAAACUGCAUUCGAUACUGCCGUGCUUGAGGACUGGAGAGGAGAUCGGAAUUCACGGUGUAGCAGUGAAAUGCGUAGAGAUCGUGAGGAAGACCCGUGGCGAAGGCGGAUCUCUGGACGGCUAACUGACGCUGAGGCGCGAAGGCCAGGGGAGCAAACGGG